UUACAGUUCAUCCUCGACAAAAUUAGGGCGCGUCUUGCAGGCUGGAAGGGUAGGCUCAUGAACAUUGUAGGUCACAGAGUGCUUGUCCGGGGAGUGCUUUCGGCCAUGCCAACCUUCGCACUCACCGCCCUGCAUCCGCCAAAAAAGCUCCUGAAAGAAAUCGACAAGGCAAGAAGGCAUUUUCUCUGGGUUCAGGAGGAAGAAGUUUCGGGAGGAAAGUCCAAGGUUAACUGGAAAACUACCUGCACACUAAUCGAAAAGGGAGGACUUAGACUUCAGGAUCUCAACAAGUUCAGUAGAGCCCUCCGGCUGAGGUGGAUGUGGAUUGCAUGGUGGCAUACAGAUGGGCCCUGGAUCGGGUUUCCAACUCCGUGUGAUUAG
rnacentral:rRNA from 1 species